UGUUGGUCUGUUUUUACGUCACCCCUCAUAAUUUCACAACUUUUAGUGUUCACGGAUAAAUUUGCAUCGCAAAAAGUUAGGAGGAGGCAUUUGUCUCAGCGACAUGGCAGCUACGAUUGGACCCCGAAUACCGAGGAAGGACGAUGCGAACUAUAACUUACAUUUCCGAAUGAUAAACGAGCAACAAGUGGAGGAUAUCUCCAUGGACUUCUUCUAUAAGCCGCACACCAUCACUCUGCUGACAGUCACUGUGCUCAGCCUGAUGUACUUUGCCUUCACCAGGGAUGAUGAACACACAGAUAACAACCUCCGUGUCGGUUUGUUGGUAGUCGUCUUCUUCUUCUUGGUCAUCAGUGUCCUGGCCUUUCCUAAUGGACCCUUCGUUAGGCCACACCCUGCAAUAUGGCGAAUGGUGUUUGGUCUCAGUGUGCUCUACUUCCUGUUUCUUGUCUUCCUUAUCUUCCUUAACUGGGACCAAGUGAAGACUCUAAUGUACUGGCUCGACCCAAACCUCCGCUAUGCAAAACGGGAGGCUGAUAUCAUGGAGUAUGCUGUAAACUGUACAGUGAUAACGUGGGAGCGCAUCCUGAGCCACUUUGACAUCUUUGCAUUUGGCCACUUUGGAGGAUGGGCCAUGAAGGCUUUGCUAAUCCGCAGCUACGGCCUGUGUUGGACCAUCAGCAUAACCUGGGAACUCACUGAGCUCUUCUUCAUGCACCUUCUACCAAACUUUGCGGAGUGCUGGUGGGAUCAGGUGAUACUCGACAUACUGUUGUGUAAUGGAGGAGGCAUCUGGCUGGGAAUGACCGUCUGCCGUUUUCUGGAGAUGAGGACGUAUCGCUGGGCCAGCAUCAAGGAAAUCCACACUACCACCGGGAAGAUAAAGCGAGCUGUGCUUCAGUUCACUCCAGCCAGCUGGACCUUCGUGCGCUGGUUUGAUCCAAAAUCAUCAUUCCAGAGGCUUGCAGGCAUCUAUGUCUUUAUGAUCCUGUGGCAGCUGACAGAGCUGAACACAUUCUUCCUCAAGCACAUCUUCGUCUUCCAGGCCUCUCACCCUCUCAGCUGGUGUCGUAUCCUCCUCAUCGGAGUCAUCACUGCACCCACUGUACGACAAUAUUAUGCUUACCUGACAGACACUCAGUGUAAGCGAGUUGGCACACAGUGUUGGGUUUUUGGAGCCAUCGCUUUCCUGGAGGCGCUUGCUUGUGUAAAAUUUGGCCAUGACUUGUUUUCCAAGACACAGAUUCGCUACGUGCUCAUGUGGCUGCUGUGUCUGGCACUCAUCACGCUCCUGUGCUUAUAUGGGAUGGUGUGGUAUGAGCAAAAGAAAGUGAAGAGAAAUUCUCUGCAAAGGCACGACUGCAAUGACAGGAGUGUUAUUGACUCAUGUGGUUUCAUCACAGAUGGUGCUGCAGCUCAGGAAUAUUCCUCACGAACUGUGCAGCCUGCAAAACGGAGGAGAACUGCAGGCAGGAACAGAUUUAUAAAUGGUCAAGGAGGAAAGAGACAAUAAACAACAACUGAUACUGAAUAUUUGUGACCUCUGUGGAGGGGGAUGAGGAAAUGAUGCGCUUACCAAGAGGAAUACAGUAUGCACUAUGUGGAUGGAUUUAAUUAAUAUUGUAAGUUGCAUCAUUGGUGCAAUUAAUCCCCAAAAAGUAGAUUCCAGAAAUCAUAUCGGUGUUACUUGAUAAACCGUUUGAACUUCUAAAGGUGUGGGAGGCCAGAACACGACAGCAGGCUUAAAGUUUGACUGAAUUUCUUUUCUAUUAAAUGUCAAAGACGUUUCUAAACAAACUUAAGUAAUGAGGUAAUAUGUGCUGGAGUUUGAGAGGAAAUGGUGCCUUAUUUGGACUGUAACAGCAGUCUGUGUCAUUCCACAACCAAUAUUGUUUUUAAACACUGGAAUAAUGUUGUCAAGUGAGGGGUGUACCAACCAGUCCACACCCACUAUCCUGUACAACAGCUGUCCCCAACCCCCGGGCCUCGGAUCGGUACCGGUCCGUGAGUCGUUUGGUACCGGGCCGCGAGAGUUGAGGCUCAGGUGUGAAAUGUAUGGUUUU